rnacentral:rRNA from 1 species
AGAAUCAACGCUGGCGGCGUGCCUAACACAUGCAAGUCGAACGCGAAAGUCCCGAAAGGGAUUAGUAGAGUGGCAAACGGGUGAGUAACACGUGGGUGACCUGCCUUCGAGUGGGGGAUAACGUCCCGAAAGGGACGCUAAUACCGCAUAACAUCCUGCUUUUUAAGAGGUGGAGAUCAAAGCCGGGGAUCGCAAGACCUGGCGUUUGAAGAGGGGCCCGCGUCUGAUUAGCUAGUUGGUGAGGUAAUGGCCCACCAAGGCGACGAUCAGU